rnacentral:piRNA from 1 species
UCCGAGAUCAAUUGACUGAUU